GCCACCAUCGCAUAAUGGUAUUGCAGGGGCUUGCUAAGCCUCGCCCUUCGGGGCUCCCAGGUUCGAUUCCUGGUGGUGGCG
rnacentral:tRNA from 2 species